rnacentral:rRNA from 1 species
GACGAACGCUGGCGGCGUGCCUAAUACAUGCAAGUAGAACGCUGAAGAAAGGAGCUUGCUUCUUUUGGAUGAGUUGCGAACGGGUGAGUAACGCGUAGGUAACCUGCCUUGUAGCGGGGGAUAACUAUUGGAAACGAUAGCUAAUACCGCAUAAUAGCUUUUGUCACAUGUUAGAAGCUUGAAAAAUGCAAUUGCAUCACUACGAGAUGGACCUGCGUUGUAUUAGCUAGUAGGUAGGGUAACGGCCUACCUAGGCGACGAUACAUAGCCGACCUGGGGGGGUGAUCGGCCACACUGGGACUGAGACACGGCCCAGACUCCUACGGGAGGCAGCAGUAGGGAAUCUUCGGCAAUGGGGGCAACCCUGACCGAGCAACGCCGCGUGAGUGAAGAAGGUUUUCGGAUCGUAAAGCUCUGUUGUAAGAGAAGAACGCGUGUGAGAGUGGAAAGUUCACACAGUGACGGUAACUUACCAGAAAGGGACGGCUAACUACGUGCCAGCCGCCGCGGUAACAC